rnacentral:lncRNA from 1 species
CGAGGGGCCAGGAGGGCCUGUGGGCCGCGGGCAGGACCGGCCCGCCACAGAGCCCCUGCCCACGUCCCGUUCCGGGCUCAGACCCGACAAGUGGGAGCGAGAUCAACAUCUGGCCCCGCCGCGGGGACAACAGGACGGCGGCGAUGGACCCUCUGCAGCUCCCUCCGGGCAAAGGUCCAGGCGGUGGCCGUGGCGGCGGCAAGAUGAAG